CGCUGAACUUAAGCAUAUCAAUAAGCGGAGGAAAAGAAACUAACAAGGAUUCCCCUAGUAACGGCGAGUGAAGCGGGAAGAGCUCAAGCUUAAAAUCUCCGUGCAAGUUUUGCGCGGCGAAUUGUAGUCUAUAGAGGCGUGGUCAGCAUGGGCGCUUGGGGCAAGUUCCUUGGAAGAGGACAGCAUGGAGGGUGAUACUCCCGUUCAUCCCUGAGUGGCUCGUGCGUACGACCCGUUUUCUUUGAGUCGCGUUGUUUGGGAAUGCAGCGCAAAGUAGGUGGUAAAUUCCAUCUAAAGCUAAAUAUUGGUGCGAGACCGAUAGCGAACAAGUACCGUGAGGGAAAGAUGAAAAGAACUUUGAAAAGAGAGUUAAAGAGUACCUGAAACUGCUGAAAGGGAACCGAAUCGUUUCCAGUGUCUAUAAUCCGUGGCAUAUUUCAUUGGCGAGCGUUUGCGUGCGUGUGCUGUGGCAGUGGCUUUUUUGGCUGCGCCUGGCGUGUGUGCUGUGAGUGUUUGCUGGUGCCCUGUGCUGCGGUGGGACGUCAAGGUCAGUUCGUAUGCUGCGGGAAAUGGCUGCCGAGGAGGUAGGGCUUACGCUCCGCGUUUGUCUGUUAUAUCUUGGUGGACGAGUCGUCGUGGUUGGGACUGAGGUGCCUACAACGUGCUUUUGAGUGGGUUUGUGUCUCCGUGUGCGCCGUGUGCGGAUAGCUUGCUAUGCGUGUGUGGUUGUGUGUGGAUUGAUGCGGGCUUUAACUUGUCGCCGUUCGGGACGUUGACGAAAUGGAGCGAUCCGACCCGUCUUGAAACACGGACCAAGGAGUCUAACAUGUGUGCAAGUGUUAGGGUGUGGAAACCCCAGCGCGAAAUGAAAGUGAAGGGCAGCGCAAGUUGUCUGAGGUAGGAAACGUUGCGGGCCUCGGUCUGCGGCGUGGCACUAUCGACCGAUCAUGAACCUUCGUGGUGAAAGAUUUGAGUUUGAGCACAUAUGUUGGUACCCGAAAGAUGGUGAACUAUGCCUGAGUAGGGUGAAGCCAGGGGAAACUCUGGUGGAAGCUCGUAGCGAUUCUGACGUGCAAAUCGAUCGUCAAACUUGGGUAUAGGGGCGAAAGACUAAUCGAACCAUCUAGUAGCUGGUUCCCUCCGAAAUUUCCCUCAGGAUAGCAGCAACUUAUUUACGAUAGUUUUAUGAGGUAAAGCGAAUGAUUAGAGGAUUCGGGGAAGAAACUUCCUCGACCUAUUCUCAAACUUUAAAUCUGUAAGACCUGCAGGUUUCUUAAUUGAACUUGUGGAUGUGAAUAUCAAGUUGCUAGUGGGCCAUACGGGGUAAGCUCGUCUGGCG
rnacentral:rRNA from 1 species